GGGAUUAUAGCUCAGUAGUAGAGCACUUGCCUCACAAGCAUGAGGCAUUGGGUUCAAUCCUCAGCACCA
rnacentral:tRNA from 1 species